CGCCGUCCUACGGCACUCCUUUCCUACGCCGUAAUCCGCUUUCUGGGUUGCAUUGAUUUUUGCUUUGCAAGCGAUAAUUCGCGCCCGAUUAAUUCUCAAAGGCAUCUUCUAUUAUGAAUUAAUGAAUUGUAUUGCUAAUAAGCGAGAAAUUCGAUGACAUCGGACAAAUUUUUUGACACAGAUGCGGAACUACUUCGCACGCCAGCGCGUAAGAUUACACUUAAAGACAGUCAUUUCGGUAUAAAAGGCUCCCACUACAAGUAGGGCUCGGCCAUUCUGCAUGUCCUCUCUCAACGGUGUGGUUGGAUCUCGCUCGUAUACGCCUCAGGCUGGCUAUAUUUCCGGAACUUUCGGGAAGGAGCCAUUAAUUUAAUUAAGAAGAAGCCUCAGCGACUUUACUGCUGGCGAACGAUCGACUAGGCGCGAGUUAGAUACAGUCUCACCUUUGAGAUGGCGGACGCAGGUGGAAAAAAAGGAUAGAGAGAAAGAGA